UAGGUUGCGGGAACUUUUCACUUUCGUGAAUUUUCGUGAAUUUCGUGAAGCUGAAUUCAAGGCGUGCUUGGGAAAUCCUCAUUGAAGAAGAAGAACGCGAGAACGCGAACGCGUAUCUCAAGAAGAUUCUGAAACACCACCGCUGUUUAUAUUGAUUGCUUUUAAUACGAAAGCAUUGGAGUGAGUGAGUGAACAAUUGAACCAAUAAGACAAAUAAGAGACCAGCUGUGGUUUUGUGCAAAAAGUGACGAUAAAAUGGAUAAAAUCUCCAAGAGUCUGAUCGCGCGUGUACGCUUUUACCCGUUUUUAUACGACAAAUCACACCGUUUCUAUAAUAGUUUGUCAAAAAAAGAAAAGACUUGGAAGACAAUAGCGUCCGAAAUUGGUAUUGCACCGAUUGUCGCCAAACGGAAAUGGAAAUCCCUUCGAGACAUGUACUUGCGCUACUUAAAACGAAGCAGCGGCUCCAAGGGACAAGUGAACCGUAAUUGGAAGCAGGAGGAGAAAUGGAAACCGAUGCAGUUCCUCCAAAGACACAUGCAACCAACACGCAAAGGAGGGUCUCUGGAGGUAUCUAGUACCUCGAAACCACCAGCAGAAACAGAAAUUACAUCAGCGCUACAAGAAUCGAACGGGAAUUCAGAUAUAGAGCUGCUGUACCUCAGCUUCGCAAAGUUCGUGCGAAACAUACGCUGUCCAGUGACGCAGGCAAAGUUGAAGCUUCAAAUAAUGGAACUCAUCACGAGUGCGACGAUCGCAAUUGAUCCAAAUGGAUUGAAAGAUCCAGCAUUUAAAUGUUCAUGAGCGUCCGUUCGUUAUAUUUUUUUCUUAUAUAAGCGAUGGGGAAGUCAAUCCCGGUAAUUGGUCGGUUUACAUGAAAUAUUCCGAGGAAGAUUUUGAUGCACUUGGCAGCAAUUUACAUUAGAAAGGGAGCAAUAUACACUCUAGAAGGGAUCUAUUACUUCAAAGGGAUUGCAUAAAUGCAAUGAUGAUUCAAGGAAUUUAGGUGUGAAUGAGAUAAAAACUUAAAGAGUGAUGAAUUAAAAUACUAAUAAAGUUGCAUCUCAUAUGAAUUAGGAAAUGUAAUCGUAAAAACAACACAGGAAAUACAGAACCAACGCUUUUGUUCGCUAUGUACACAGUAGCUGAGUUC